rnacentral:rRNA from 1 species
GACGAACCGUGCGAACGUUAUUCGGAAUCACUGGGCUUAAAGCGCGUGUAGGUGGCGGCCUAAGUACCUUGUGAAAUCCUGCGGCUCAACCGCAGAACUGCUUGGUAUACUGGGUCGCUUGAGCCAUCCAGGGGCAACUGGAACAAGCGGUGGAGCGGUGAAAUGCGUAGAUAUCGCUUGGAACGCCAAAGGUGAAAACAGGUUGCUGGGGAUGCGCUGACACUGAGACGCGAAAGCCAGGGGAGCGAACGGG